AGCAUUUGUGUGUGUGUUUGUUGGAACUCUGGACAAAAAUGUAAAGACGGAUACAAAAAUAAAUCUUCUUUUGCAAUCAGGAACUCAUUGCUCAGUAUGAGUUUUGAUAUUCUACAAGCAGUAAGGUG
ensembl:snoRNA